rnacentral:rRNA from 1 species
AGAGUUUGAUCCUGGCUCAGGAUGAACGCUAGCUACAGGCUUAACACAUGCAAGUCGAGGGGCAGCAUUUUAGUUUGCUUGCAAACUAAAGAUGGCGACCGGCGCACGGGUGAGUAACACGUAUCCAACCUGCCGAUAACUCGGGGAUAGCCUUUCGAAAGAAAGAUUAAUAUCCGAUAGUAUAUUAAAACCGCAUGGUUUUACUAUUAAAGAAUUUCGGUUAUCGAUGGGGAUGCGUUCCAUUAGUUUGUUGGCGGGGUAACGGCCCACAAGACUACGAUGGAUAGGGGUUCUGAGAGGAGGUCCCCCACAUUGGAACUGAGACACGGUCCAAACUCCUACGGGNGCAC